rnacentral:rRNA from 1 species
CCUACGGGACGCAGCAGUGGGGAAUAUUGGGCAAUGGGCGCAAGCCUGACCCAGCAACGCCGCGUGAAGGAAGAAGGCUUUCGGGUUGUAAACUUCUUUUCUGAGGGACGAAGAAAGUGACGGUACCUCAGGAAUAAGCCACGGCUAACUACGUGCCAGCAGCCGCGGUAAUACGUAGGUGGCAAGCGUUAUCCGGAUUUAUUGGGUGUAAAGGGCGCGUAGGCGGGGAAGCAAGUCUGAUGUGAAAACUCAGGGCCCAACCCUCGGCCUGCUUUUGAAACUGUUUGUCU